GCCUUCGUAGUGUAGUGGUCAGCACGCUCGACGCGUAUUCGAGAGGUCCGUGGUUCGAUUCCCCGUGAGGGUA
rnacentral:tRNA from 1 species